rnacentral:rRNA from 1 species
CCUACGGGGGGCAGCAGUGGGGAAUAUUGGACAAUGGGGGCAACCCUGAUCCAGCCAUGCCGCGUGUGUGAAGAAGGCCCUCGGGUUGUAAAGCACUUUCAGUGAGGAAGAACGCCUGGUGGUUAAUACCCAUCAGGAAAGACAUCACUCACAGAAGAAGCACCGGCUAACUCCGUGCCAGCAGCCGCGGUAAUACGGAGGGUGCGAGCGUUAAUCGGAAUUACUGGGCGUAAAGCGCGCGUAGGUGGCUUGAUAAGCCGGUUGUGAAAGCCCCGGGCUCAACCUGGGAACGGCAUCCGGAACUGUCAAGCUAGAGUGCAGGAGAGGAAGGUAGAAUUCCCGGGGUAGCGGUGAAAUGCGUAGAGAUCGGGAGGAAUACCAGUGGCGAAGGCGGCCUUCUGGACUGACACUGACACUGAGGUGCGAAAGCGUGGGUAGCAAACAGGAUUAGAUACCCGUGUAGC